rnacentral:rRNA from 1 species
AGCGCAGACGGCGAAGCAAGUCUGAAGUGAAAUGCAUGGGCUCAACCCAUGAAUUGCUUUGGAAACUGUUUGGCUUGAGUGUCGGAGGGGUAAGCGGAAUUCCUGGUGUAGCGGUGGAAUGCGCAGAUAUCAGGAGGAACACCGGUGGCGAAGGCGGGUCUCUGGGCAGUAACUGACGCUGAGGAGCGAAAGCGUGGGUAGCGAACA